CAAUAGCGUAUAUUAAAGUUGUUGCGGUUAAAAAGCUCGUAGUUGGAUUUCUGCCGAGGACGACCGGUCCGCCCUCUGGGUGAGUAUCUGGCUCGGCCUGGGCAUCUUCUUGGAGAACGUAUCUGCACUUGACUGUGUGGUGCGGUAUCCAGGACUUUUACUUUGAGGAAAUUAGAGUGUUUCAAGCAGGCCCACGCCUUGAAUACAUUAGCAUGGAAUAAUAAUAUAGGAUUUCGGUUUCUAUUUUGUUUGGUUUCUUAGAGCUGAAAUAAUGAUUAAUAGGGACGACUUGGGGCGAUUCGUAUUAUCACGUCAGAGGUGGAAUUCUUGGAUUGUGUUACGUACGAACUACUGCGAAAGCAUUUGUCCAGGAUGUUUUCAUUGAUCAAGAACGAAAGUAAGGGGAUCGAAGACGAUUAGAUACCAU
rnacentral:rRNA from 1 species